ACAGUUAUGUUUAUUUUCGACUUGCUUCAAGUGAUGUUAUUUUUGUGUGGUGGUUAUGUAUUUAGUCUAAAUUAUUAUUUAUAUGUUAAUAACACUUAUUGUUUCAAUAAACAUAAUUAAUACAAUUAAAGGUGUUUUUAAUGUACUAAAAAGGUAAAAAAGUUCUGACUACUAAAGCCCAAAUUUAAUAUUCCAUGAAUAUUAUUAUUGUUUUUUAAUAUACGUCACGGUUAUAACAUUUUAUCAAAAGAUUAAAGAAAUGUUUAUUAUCUAACGAGAUAACUUUGCCCUAUGCGUCAACUUGCCCUGCUCUCCUCUAUAUUAGUUUUUUUAUGGGCAAUUGUAAGACCAUUUCUGUCUAUAUAAAACUACGUAAAGGAUUUUUCAGGACUGGAGUAAUUUUAAUAGAUUUUUCUUCAAAAUCAGCAUGAAGUCAGUUGAAGGUCAAGUUGAGCUCUAAGAAACAUAAUACAAUAAGCUUUCUAAAAUAAUUAUUUAGUUAUUGAAAUUCUAUAUGGCUUUACUUAAGGAAAUUUAUGAAAAUGUCUUAAAUUAUCAAGCCCCUAAUUUGUGUGUGUACUUGGUUUCCAAAUAAUAUGAGAUAUGAGUAACAUUAUUUUAAUAUUUAACAAUUUUUAAGUAUUCAUAUUUAAUUUUUACUUUAAAUAUUUCAAUUUUUGUUAAAUCGUGAAAUUUUAAAUCACUAAAAAUAUACU